rnacentral:lncRNA from 1 species
UUUCUCUUGUUUCGUCAUUUUUUCAUUUUUUUCUUCUAUGCUUGCUUUUUUUUCUUGUGUUUUGUACAGAUUUGUUCGCGGUGGGGGAGCUCGCGGGCAGUCCCCGGUGCUCCUCAACCCUAGGCCCAAGCUGCGGACCGGCGCUACUCCGCGGCAUGGAUGACACUGCAGAAGCAGGCGGCGGAGGGCGGAGCCAUUGCCG